rnacentral:RNase_P_RNA from 4 species
AAAGUAAGACAGACGGUCGCAGCUGCAAGUGUCGAAAGACCGCAGGUGAGGAAAGUCCGGGCUUCAUAGGGCAGGAUGCCGGAUAACGUCCGGUGGAGGCGACUCCAAGGCUAGUGCAACAGAAAUGUACCGCCCAGAUUGACUCUGGGUAAGGGUGGAAGGGCAGUGUAAGAGACUACCGCCCCUUUGGUAACAAAGGGGGCAUAUGUAAACCCCAUUCGAAGCAAGACCGAACGAAAACGAUGUGGCGGCCCGUCACGUUUUAGGUAGGUUGCUUGAUCUUACUGGCGACAGUAAGGCUAGAUAGAUGACCGUUCAACGACAUAACCCGGCUUAUCGUUUUGCUUUUACA